rnacentral:rRNA from 1 species
GAUGAACGCUAGCGGCAGGCUUAAUACAUGCAAGUCGUGGGGCAGCAUGAAGCAGCAAUACUUUGAUGGCGACCGGCAAACGGGUGCGGAACACGUACACAGCCUUCCUUUUAGUGGGGAAUAGCCCAGAGAAAUUUGGAUUAAUACCCCGUAACAUAGCGAUGAGGCAUCUCAUUGCUAUUAUAGCUUCGGCGCUAGAUGAUGGGUGUGCGUAUGAUUAGAUAGUUGGCGAGGUAACGGCUCACCAAGUCUACGAUCAUUAGCUGAUGUGAGAGCAUGAUCAGCCACACGGGCACUGAGACACGGGCCCGACUCCUACGGGAGGCAGCAGUAAGGAAUAUUGGUCAAUGGUCGAAAGUCUGAACCAGCCAUGCCGCGUGAAGGAUUAAGGUCCUCUGGAUUGUAAACUUCUUUUAUAUGGGACGAAAAAAGGUCUUUCUAGAUCACUUGACGGUACCAUAUGAAUAAGCACCGGCUAACUCCGUGCCAGCCGCCGCUGUAACAC